CUGAGUGACCUCUCAAAGCGUAAAGGCCCAGUGGAGAGGCUAGGAGACGCAUAGAAGAGGGAAAGGGAUCACUGUUUUAAGAAUUCUUGUUAAGGGAGUGCCAGUGGUGUCCUUGCAAGAAUGGAGUUAGGCCCAAGUUCAUAUAUCUCAGAUGGCAUGUUUUUAUUAAAAAAAAAAAAAAAAGGGAUAUUAUGAUAAUCAAAAGAAG
rnacentral:lncRNA from 1 species